UAUUGCACAAUGGGGGGAACCCUGAUGCAGCGACGCCGCGUGAGUGAAGGAGUAAUUCGUUAUGUAAAGCUCUAUCAGCAGGGAAGAAUAAAUGACGGUACCUGAGUAAGAAGCCCCGGCUAACUACGUGCCAGCAGCCGCGGUAAUACGUAGGGGGCAAGCGUUAUCCGGAAUUACUGGGUGUAAAGGGAGAGUAGGCGGCAAGGUAAGCGAUAUGUGAAAGCCUUAAGCUUAACUUAAGGAUUGCAUAACGAACUAUCUAGCUAGAGUACAGGAGAGGAAAGCGGAAUUCCUAGUGUAGCGGUGAAAUGCGUAGAUAUUAGGAAGAACACCAGUGGCGAAGGCGGCUUUCUGGACUGAAACUGACGCUGAGGCUCGAAAGCGUGGGGAGCGA
rnacentral:rRNA from 1 species